rnacentral:lncRNA from 8 species
ACUCAAGGAGCUUGGUCGCUCAAAUGCCAGCCACAACCAAUGCUCCCUCCCAGUUAAGGGGUCAGAGCUGCUUGGGUGGAAGCCAGAGGGCUGUGGUCAAAAGUCACCAUCCAGUGUCAUUACGAAAAGGACUCACCUCCCAGCAAAAAUGUCACAGUGGUGGUGUGGAACACAAGUAAGAAAGAUUACAUGAGAAAUUUAAUGCAUAGAUUCCUGAUUUAGGUGAUUCAUCCAUUUGGUCAAAAAUACAUUUUACUCUGUUACAGACAUGCUGACUAAGUACAUCAUCGGAUGUAUGGCCCUGAUAGGAUUCAUGAUUCUACCUGCAGUAUUCAUAUUCUACAUCACCUGUCUCCUCUCACUGAAAGCAAAGAGUAUGUGAACCUGGUAUCUAACAGCCUUUUAAACGUAUUAGCAAAACCGAUCAGACAGAAUCACUCAUUUAUUCCAUUGUUUUACUGUCAUAGGGAACGGACACCUCGUCAUAACAAGAUCGCCCAGUGACCAGACAUUGCCAGGAGACACUACCGUAACAAGAAGGUGAAGAUGAUUGGUGCUAUGCCACCGUGUCCCAUGCUGAUGCUCCUCCAUCCUACUCAGUCAAGUUUGAGGAAGGCCAUGACUAUGCCACAAUGGUCAUAUACUGACCAGCAUGUGCCGACCUGAAUGGACAUGAAAGGACUUCCACAUAGAUAGAUUGUUUGACUUUAACACCUCCAUUUAAAUUUUCUUUCCAAUAAAUCAAUUGCACUAAUCUAUUUGCAAUGUAGUUUUGAUCAUCCAAUUUGUCACUUUAAGAGAACAAUUAAGUUUUUGUAUUCCACCAUCCGCUUAAUUUCUGUUUGUCUCGUGUGCACCUGUCAGUCCCAGUCGCAGGAAACAGUAACAUAGCGCUCGCUACUUUUCGCUGACCAGGCAUUCAUCUUUGCUUACCUGCCUAAUGCUUCUAAAUGUAAGCCAUUGACUUAAAUCAAGAAUUACUUACUUAAAUUCCACGAGGGUUAAGUCUACUCCAAAUGUGCACGGUCCGUGGAUGAAUUGGCAAGUUUUCAACCCGUUUUCUCACGGUGUGGUGGUUACAAACUACUCCACUACUACCCGUCCGUAGCAAUACAAGACACGUUUAUACCACUAGAUGGCAAUGUUGAAUCCUGUUUUGCAACAAUUUUAAGAGCUCCUCGUAGGCAGGGAAAACCCUUUUUGGACAUUUCUGUUAUUGGAAUAGGCUAUCAUCAAAAUAAAUCAAUUGUACAAUACCAUUGGAAAUUAAUGUUGAAAGUUGCAUUUGUGUUCCUAAAAUGUAAAUUGAAAAGGUAUUAUCACUGCUUCCUGUUGACAAGCCAUUUUGAUAAAUAGCCUAAUGUCAAAACACAGUUUAGAGAUUGAUUAGACACUAGAGAUUAGAGAGUUUAAUAGUCAAAUCAUGCACAGGGUUGCAGAUGUAAUUACAGGGCACGAGCUCCAACAAUGCAGGACAAAGUGAAAUAAAAUAAUACAAAUAUAAAUAAAUACAUUUUAACAAUUUGUCAUUGAUAAAUGUCCAUUGGGGGUGGGGACAGUGUUAACGUCCAUUAGAGGGGAUGAGAAAUGUCCACAGGAGGAGCAGCAGGGUGAGUAGGUGACUAGUUGUGACUAUUCAGCAUAAUACAUGUCUAUUGGGGGGAGGGCAGGGUAAAAAUGUCCUUUGAGGUGGGGGGUAGAAGCCUGAUGGUCUGGGGGUAGAAGCUAUUGGCCAGUCUUACAGUUUUUACCAUGAUGCUCCUAUACUGCCUGCGUCUGAGUGAUAGAACGGGGAGAACAGGCCAUGGCUCAGGAUGCUGGGGUCCCUGAUUAUCUUCUUUGCCUUCCAGCGACACUUGGUGUUGUAGGUGUCCAAAUCAAUAAGCAAUAUGCAGAAACAGUUCGUUACAUAUUGAAAACCUAAACCUAAAAUCUACUAUCUACACAUGUGCACCAAUUGUAAUCAUAUUACUUGUAUUUUUUUAAACGAGCACCUUAUAAACUGCACACGCACCCAAACCCUGGUGUUUUGACAAGUGGCAAUAAAUCACUGAUAUCAAUUAGGUGGGAGGGAUUAAGGUUGUAGCGCUGUUGAAACUAACACAACUAAAAACAACACAUGGAAACUGGAGAUAUUUAAUUACAUCACUGGUUAGAGAACAACAUGCAGAAGUCAGAAAUCAUCUACAUUUUAGAGUGAGGCAAUUUGAUUUGGGGGUCUCCAAAACAGAAAGAGAAACGCUACACUUAUUUCCAAUCACUCAUAAUUGUAGAAGUCAGAAAUCAUGUCACACCCUGACCUUAGAGAGCCUUUUUUAUUCUCUAUUUUGUUAGGUCAGGGUGUGACUUGGAUGGGCAUAUCUAUGUUUCUAUUUCUUUGUUGGCCUAGUAUGGUUUCCAAUCAGAGGCAGCUGUUCAUCGUUGUCUCUGAUUGGGGAUCAUACUUAGGCAGCCCUUUUUCCCACCUGUGAUUGUGGGAUCUUGUUUGUGUGUAGUUGCUUUCUGCACUGCAUAUAGCUUUACAUUUGUUUUCUGUUGUUUUUUCCCGUUUUCAUUUUUAUUAAAAAAGAAAAUGUACGCCUACCACGCUGCACCUUGGUCCAGUUCUUCAGACGAGCGUAACAAAUCAGCUAUAUUUUGGAGUGAGGCAAUUUGAUAUGGGGGUCUCAAACAGAAAGAGAAACGCUCCACUUAUUUUCCAAUCACUCAUAUUGAUAUCAUAUUGAAAUCAGUUGCACGAGGGGAAGAUAAGGUUGCAAGUCCUGUUAAAACUAACACAGAUCAAAAACUACACGGAAUCUGCUAAUAAUGUGUUGCCUACAAUUUGUAGAAGACAGCUAGCUACAUUUUGAAGUGUUGCAUUUUGAUUCAAGUGGGUCGCCAACGAGGUAAGUGUAAUGCAACACUUUUUCUUUUUACCACUUCCAUCAAUAUCAUGCUGAAAUCAAAAGAACACGGUCAAAUGUUUGGGCUGUAGCGUUGUUGGUUAGAUGAGAACUUAGAAGGCUUACAGUAUUGGCCUAUCUAUAUUUAGGAAUGUCGGAUGUUGAUUUUCGUCAAGCGACUUUUAUAGAGACCAAGAGAUCAUGGAGUCCCGAGUGGUGCAGCACAAUUGGCCAAGCGUCGUCCAGGUUAGGGGAUGGUUUGGCUGACCUGAUUUCCUUGUCCCACCGUGCUCUAGAGACUCCUUGUGGCGGCCAGGUGCCUUCAAGCUGACUUCAGUCGCCAGCUGGACAGUGUUUCCUCCGACAC